GGACAGAAAGACCCUAUGAAGCUUUACUGUAGCUUGGAAUUGAAUUUGGGUUUAAUUUGUGCAGUAUAGGUGGGAGGCAGAGAGUAUAUAUUUGCGGAUGUAUAGGAGCCAUUAGUGAGAUACCACUCUGAUUAAACUAGAAUUCUAAUAUUGAUUGCCAUCAGCUGGCCAAUAAACAGUUUGAGGUGGGCAGUUUGACUGGGGCGGUCGCCUCCUAAAAGGUAACGGAGGCGUGCAAAGGUUUCCUCAGGCUGGUCGGAAAUCAGUCGUAGAGUAUAAAGGCAUAAGGAAGCUUGACUGCGAGACAUACAAGUCGAGCAGAGACGAAAGUCGGCCUUAGUGAUCCGACAGUACUGAGUGGAAAGGCUGUCGCUCAACGGAUAAAAGUUACCUCUAGGGAUAACAGGCUGA
rnacentral:rRNA from 1 species